rnacentral:misc_RNA from 1 species
ACACCGCGACCCCUCUUCUGUUCCAUCCGUAGACGCGCACCCAAUGCGCGCUAUCCUCAUUCUCAACGCAUGCACACCUUCCUUCGAAAACACCGCGUCUCGACGAGGCUUGUAAAAAAAAAAACGAUCUGCAGAAAAAGGCAAUCCGCAGAAGUCAAAUAUACGCGUCACCGGUACUCGACUGCCGUUGUCUCUCCCUCUCUGGUGGUGGUGGUGGUGGAUGCUAAUCCAUGUCUCAUUCCGUUUUGCGUGUAUGCUUCCCUCCUUUCUCCUCCCUUCCCCCGGAAGAGGGCGCCGGAGAGUGCAGAAGCACACAUCUGCGUGCUACUACUGGGCUCACCAGUUCACCACAAAACCCUCCUUCCCCCCUCUGUACAGAGGUGACGAAACGUCCUUGCCGUCUUCCUUCCACUAAUGCACGUCAGAAGCUUCUGGACCUGAUCAUGCCACGCUUGGUCACCGUGCACGAUGCUCGCAGUUUACUGUGUCUUCGAGGCAUCGCGUGUCCUCCGCCAUACUUCUCUCCCUCUCUCCCUCUCUCCCUCUCCCCACUGCACCCGUUCGAACACGCGACGUAUCGGCGACAG